rnacentral:rRNA from 1 species
GACGAACGCUGGCGGCGUGCCUAAUACAUGCAAGUUGAGCGCUGAAGGUUGGUACUUGUACCAACUGGAUGAGCAGCGAACGGGUGAGUAACGCGUGGGGAAUCUGCCUUUGAGCGGGGGACAACAUUUGGAAACGAAUGCUAAUACCGCAUAAAAACUUUAAACACAAGUUUUAAGUUUGAAAGAUGCAAUUGCAUCACUCAAAGAUGAUCCCGCGUUGUAUUAGCUAGUGGGUGAGGUAAAGGCUCACCAAGGCGAUGAUACAUAGCCGACCUGAGAGGGUGAUCGGCCACAUUGGGACUGAGACACGGCCCAAACUCCUACGGGAGGCAGCAGUAGGGAAUCUUCGGCAAUGGACGAAAGUCUGACCGAGCAACGCCGCGUGAGUGAAGAAGGUUUUCGGAUCGUAAAACUCUGUUGGUAGAGAAGAACGUUGGUGAGAGUGGAAAGCUCAUCAAGUGACGGUAACUACCCAGAAAGGGACGGCUAACUACGUG